rnacentral:rRNA from 1 species
UUCCGGUUGAUCCUGCCGGACCUGACUGCUAUCGGAUUGAUACUAAGCCAUGCGAGUCUUUGUAGUAAUACAAGGCAUACGGCUCAGUAACGCGUAGUCAACCUACCCUAUGGACAAGAAUAAUCUCGGGAAACUGAGCAUAAUUCUUGAUAGACCAUAAUGCCUGGAAUGGUUUAUGGUUAAAACGAUUCGUCGCCAUAGGAUGGGACUGCGGCCUAUCAGCUUGUUGGUGAGGUAAUGGCCCACCAAGGCGAUUACAGGUACGGGCUCUGAGAGGAGAAGCCCGGAGAUGGGUACUGAGACAAGGACCCAGGCCCUAUGGGGCGCAGCAGGCGAGAAAACUUUGCAAUGUGCGAAAGCACGACAAGGUUAGUCCGAGUGAUUUCUGCUAAAGAGAUCUUUUGCUAGUUAUAAAACCACUAGUGAAUAAGGGGUGGGCAAGUUCUGGUGUCAGCCGCCGCGGUAAAACCAGCACCUCAAGUGGUCAGGAUGAUUAUUGGGCCUAAAGCAUCCGUAGCCGGCUCUGUAAGUUUUCGGUCAAAUCUAUGCGCUCAACGUAUGGGCUGCCGAAAAUACUGUAGAGAUAGGGAGUGGGAGAGGUAGACGGUACUCGGUAGGAAGGGGUAAAAUCCUUUGAUCUAUCGAUGACCACCUGUGGCGAAGGCGGUCUACCAGAACACGUUCGACGGUGAGGGAUGAAAGCUGGGGGAGCAAACCGGAUUAGAUACCCGGGUAGUCCCAGCUGUAAACGAUGCAGACUCGAUGAUGCAUUGGCAUAUAGCCAGUGCAGUGUCGCAGGGAAGCCGUUAAGUCUGCCGCCUGGGAAGUACGUACGCAAGUAUGAAACUUAAAGGAAUUGGCGGGGGAGCACCACAAGGGGUGAAGCCUGCGGUUCAAUUGGAUUCAACGCCGGG